UACGAAGGGGGCGAGCGUUGUUCGGAAUCAUUGGGCGUAAAGGGUGCGUAGGUGGCGCGGUAAGUCGGGUGUGAAAUUUCGGAGCUUAACUCCGAAACUGCAUUCGAUACUGCCGUGCUUGAGGACUGGAGAGGAGACUGGAAUUUACGGUGUAGCGGUGAAAUGCGUAGAUAUCGUAAGGAAGACCAGUGGCGAAGGCGGGUCUCUGGACAGUUCCUGACGCUGAGGCACGAAGGCCAGGGGAGCAAACGGG
rnacentral:rRNA from 1 species